CAUCCUUGGUUCUGUCCAGGAGUCUAGUUAUCUCAGCAGUUUCAAUCUGGUGCUAGGGUCCUAGAAGAUUCCUAAAGAGCUCCUGGUCUUUAAUCUGUGUUGGAAUCCCAAAAAGUAGGUUCUAAAAUGAGCAAAGGAAUGCCUCAGAACCUUGAUGGAUCAAUUUGCCAGUGUGCUGGCAAGAGAGUGGGGAGAGAGAGGGGAUGGCAGAAGGAGGCCCAUAGCUAGCCUUGCAGGCUCAUGCUGUAAUUGGAAACUGAAAGUCAGGGAUGAGGAAAGUGUAGCAGCAAAGGAAACCUACUUUUUUGUGGUAAUGAAUGCAAAUCUCUCUGCUUGAGUGACCGGUGCAUGCGAAGCAUGUGUGUUCAGUGCAAGUGUGCUCACUGCAGGUGUGUUCAGGGCAGGUGUGCUCACUGCAGGUGUGUUCAGGGCAGGUGUGCUCACUGCAGGUGUGUUUAGUACAGGUGUGUUCAGUGCAGAUGUGUUCAGGGCAGGUGUGUUCAGUGCAGGUGAGUUCAAUGCAGGUGUGUUCAGGGCAGGUGUGUUCAAUGCAAGUGUGCUUAAUGCAGGUGUGUUCAGGGCAGGUGUGCUCAGGGAAGGUGUGUUUAGGGUAUGUGUGUUCAGUACACACACACACACACACACACACACACCUUUAAAUAGAAAGUUUCUAGAUUGCUUUGCCCUUUUGUUCUUUCAAUUUACAAAGUGUAAUAGGUAAACUAACUUUUUCACAAACACUAAUUUCCCCUUGAGGAGAAAUGACUUUACUGUGUUAUCAGGACACUUCAAUUCGAAUCUCUGUUUUAACGAGUUUCAGUUAGUUAACACAAAUACUAAUAGAAAAAAAAAGCAGUGGUUUUGGGUAUCAGAAAUCUAAGAACAACUGAAAAUGCUAUUAUAUACUAAUUCACCUCAUUUAAAGUCAUUUACAGGGGUU
ensembl:lncRNA